GGAUGCUUAGCUCAGUUGGUUAGAGCACCUCGUUUACACCGAGGGGGUCGAGGGUUCGAAUCCCCCAGCAUCCACCC
rnacentral:tRNA from 1 species